UCCUCGAUAGCUCAGCGGUAGAGCAGGUGACUGUUAAUCACUUGGUCCCAGGUUCGAAUCCUGGUCGAGGAGCCA
rnacentral:tRNA from 1 species